CGCCGAAAGGGGUACGUAAUACCGGAUAUCUUGCUUUUCAUAAGUUAUGCAAGCAAAGGUGGCCUCUGCAUAUGCUACUGCACGAAGAGGGGUCUGCGUACCAUUAGCUAGUAGGUGGGGUAAUGGCCUACCUAGGCGACGAUGGUUAGCGGGUCUGAGAGGAUGAUCCGCCACACUGGCACUGGAACACGGGCCAGACUCCUACGGGAGGCAGCAGUGAGGAAUAUUGCGCAAUGGGGGAAACCCUGACGCAGCGACGCCGCGUGAGUGAGGAAAAGGCCUUCGGGUCGUAAAGCUCUGUCAAGAGGAAAGAAGUGUACAAUGGCUAAUACCUGUUGUAUUUGACGGUACCUCUAAAGGAAGCACCGGCUAACUCCGUGCCAGCAGCAGC
rnacentral:rRNA from 1 species